ACUUCAAAACAACAUGCCAGUAACAGAAAUGUUUUUCAUGGCCCUAUCAUAUGUUUUUCCCAGUAUAAUAAGAUGGCCAAAGGUUAAAUCCAUAUAAAUGUUUCAAUGUGAUGGCCUAUCUCAAUAGGCAAACCUUUGGUACUAUACUUGCUUGGUACUAUACUUGCUUAGAUAAUUAACAAUUGCCCAAUUCCACACCCAAGUUCUAUCAUUCUAAUUUGUAGAUGUACAGUUCAAUUAUGUAUCCUUAUUCAAAAGGCAAACUACUCUCCUCCACCUAUGUUGCAUCAUUGGUUCUGUCGAAGACAACUUAGCUUGUUGGAAUCAAACAUUCUUAGAUCACUACUUGAAUCUUUAUUCUUUUUCUUUAGAGAAGAGCUUGAAUCAAGAAUCUUUACGUUAUUCACCACCCUUAUGAAGAAAGUAUUUUAAAUGCUAUUUGUAGAGCAUAAUCCAGCACAAAAUCAUUUUAUUUUACCGCUUUGAACCAGUGUUGCAGCUAUGUGCUCUGCUGCAGAACAAUGUAGAGUGUUGCAGCUAUGUGCUCUGCUGCAGAACAAUGUAGAGUUCAUAUCAGUGCAUUGGAC
rnacentral:lncRNA from 1 species